AGAGGUUUGGUCCUAGCCUUAUAGUUAGUUAGAGGUAAAAUUACACAUGCAAAACUCCCUAAGCCAGUGUCAAAUCCCCCAAAAUUCUACAGAAUUUGAAGGAGAGGACAUCAAGUUCAUUCUAAUAGCUAAAGACGUCUUGCCUAGCCACACCCCCACGGGACCCAGCAGUGAUAAAAAUUAAGCAAUGAACGAAAGUUUGACUAAGUUAUACCUCCAAGGGUUGGUAAAUCUCGUGCCAGCCACCGCGGUCAUACGAUUAACCCAAAUUAACUAUCACCCGGCGUAAAACGUGUCCCUAGAGUACCCCCAAUAGAAUUAAAAUUCAACCAAUAUGUGAAAAUUCAUCGUUGAAGUUAAAAUCAGAAACGAAAGUUAUUCUAGUAGACUUAAUACACGAUAGCUAAGAUCCAAACUGGGAUUAGAUACCCCACUAUGCUUAGCCCUAAACCACAAUAACUUAAAAACAAAGUUAUUUGCCUGAGAACUACUGGCCACCGCUUAAAACUCAAAGGACUUGGCGGUACUUUAUAUCCACCUAGAGGAGCCUGUUCUAUAAUCGAUAAACCCCGCUAUACCUCACCACUUCUUGCUAAUUCAGCCUAUAUACCGCCAUCUUCAGCAAACCUUUUAAAAAGAAUCAUAGUAAGCAAGAGAACAAUCAUAAAAACGUUAGGUCAAGGUGUAGCCUAUGAAGUGGGAAGCAAUGGGCUACAUUUUCUCCACAAGAACAUUAACGACACCCUCUAUGAAACUAGAGGACAAAGGAGGAUUUAGUAGUAAAUUAAGAAUAGAGAGCUUAAUUGAAUUGAGCAAUGAAGUACGCACACACCGCCCGUCACCCUCCUCAAACUAAAUGAAUAGAACUCUAUACAUAAUUAAAUCUAACAAAUUUACUAGAGGAGGUAAGUCGUAACAAGGUAAGCAUACCGGAAGGUGUGCUUGGAAUAAU
rnacentral:ncRNA from 1 species